AGGACGAACGCUGGCGGCGUGCUUAACACAUGCAAGUCGAGCGGAAAGGCCCUUCGGGGUACUCGAGCGGCGAACGGGUGAGUAACACGUGAGCAACCUGCCCCUGGCUCUGGGAUAGCCUCCGGAAACGGGGAUUAAUACCGGACAUGACCUGGGACUGCAUGGUUCUGGGUGGAAAGUUUUUCGGCCAGGGUGGGGCUCGCGGCCUAUCAGCUUGUUGGGGGGGUGACGGCCCACCAAGGCGACGACGGGUAGCCGGCCUGAGAGGGCGACCGGCCACACUGGGACUGAGACACGGCCCAGACUCCUACGGGAGGCAGCAGUGGGGAAUAUUGCGCAAUGGGCGGAAGCCUGACGCAGCGACGCCGCGUGCGGGAUGGAAGGCCUUCGGGUUGUAAACCGCUUUCACCGCAGACGAAGCGAGAGUGACGGUACCGUGGGGAAGAAGCGCCGGCUAACUACGCGCCAGCAGCCGC
rnacentral:rRNA from 1 species